GAGUCUUGGGAUAUUUGGGGUUAAGCGUCCUUGGGUUUGAAUAGUACUGGAUUGGGUGACCUCCCGGGAAGUCCAAAUUCAAGAGAUU
rfam:Selaginella moellendorffii unplaced genomic scaffold SELMOscaffold_94, whole genome shotgun sequence.